UACGAAGGGGGCUAGCGUUGCUCGGAAUCACUGGGCGUAAAGGGCGCGUAGGCGGCCAUUCAAGUCGGGGGUGAAAGCCUGUGGCUCAACCACAGAAUUGCCUUCGAUACUGAUUGGCUUGAGACCGGAAGAGGUAAGUGGAACUGCGAGUGUAGAGGUGAAAUUCGUAGAUAUUCGCAAGAACACCAGUGGCGAAGGCGGCUUACUGGUCCGGUUCUGACGCUGAGGCGCGAAAGCGUGGGGAGCGAACAGG
rnacentral:rRNA from 1 species